rnacentral:rRNA from 1 species
UCCGUAGGUGGAUAAUUAAGUCAGAGGUGAAAGUUUGCAGCUCAACUGUAAAAUUGCCUUUGAUACUGGUUAUCUUGAAUUAUUGUGAAGUGGUUAGAAUAUGUAGUGUAGCGGUGAAAUGCAUAGAUAUUACAUAGAAUACCAAUUGCGAAGGCAGAUCACUAACAAUAUAUUGACACUGAUGGACGAAAGCGUGGGGAGCGAACAGGAUUAGAUACCCUGGUAGUC